GCCUACUGUUUAAUUUUGAGGGUUCGUUUUUACGAAUACUCAAAAUUAGCACUUUUAGCAACAGAAUAAACUGAACGCAUGUGAAGUUUGUUUGUUGGCGACGUGCUUUAGCACUUUGAAAACUGCAUAUAUAUUUAGUGAUAUGACAUCUAAUUUGUAAUAUAUAAAGCUGAUAACUUUUUAAAAUUAUCGAAGUUGAUAGCUUCUAAUCUAUCAAACCUUUUUAACUGGUCAA
rnacentral:misc_RNA from 1 species